rnacentral:rRNA from 1 species
CCAGACUCCUACGGGAGGCAGCAGUGAGGAAUAUUGGUCAAUGGCCGAGAGGCUGAACCCGCCAAGUCGCGUGAGGGAAGACGGCCCUACGGGUUGUAAACCUCUUUUGUCGGGGAGCAAAGCGAGUCACGUGUGACUCAUUGAGAGUACCCGAAGAAAAAGCAUCGGCUAACUCCGUGCCAGCAGCCGCGGUAAUACGGAGGAUGCGAGCGUUAUCCGGAUUUAUUGGGUUUAAAGGGUGCGUAGGCGGACGCUUAAGUCAGCGGUAAAAUUGCGGGGCUCAACCUCGUCGAGCCGUUGAAACUGGGUGCCUUGAGUGGGCGAGAAGUACGCGGAAUGCGUGGUGUAGCGGUGAAAUGCUUAGAUAUCAUGAAGAACUCCGAUCGCGAAGGCAAGUGUCCGGGGUGCAACUGACGCUGAGGCUCGAAAGUGCGGGUAUCAAACAGGAUUAGAUACCCUAGUA